rnacentral:lncRNA from 1 species
CUUCCUUCUUUCCCUCCCACCUGUCCCCUCAGUCCCAAUCCCAAGCGUCACUGAGUCUUUCUAAUCUUCCUUUUCUACAGACCUAUCUGACCUCUCCCCUCCUGGCCAGGCCGAGCUAGGUCCCAAUUCUUCCUCAGCCUCAGCUCCUCCACCCUAUAAUCCUUUUAUCACCUCCCCUCCUCACACCCAGUCAGGCUUACAGUUUCCUUCCAUGACUAGCCCUCCCCCACCUGCCCAGCAAUUUACUCUUAAAAAGGUGGCUGGAGCUAAAGGCAUAGUCAAGGUUAAUGCUCCUUUUUCUUUAUCCCAAAUCAGAUAGCAUUUAGGCUCUUUUUCAUCAAAUAUAAAAAUCCAGCCCAGUUCAUGACUUGUUUGGCAGCAACCCUGAGACACUUUACAGCUCUAGACCCUAAAAUGUCAAAAGGCCGUCUUAUUCUCAAAAUACAUUUUAUUACCCAAUCUGCUCCCGACAUUAAAUAAAACUCCAAAAAUUAAAUUCCGGCCCUCAAACCCCACAACAGGAUUUAAUUAGCCUCACCUUCAAGGUGUACAAUAAUAGAAAACAGUUGCAAUUCCUUGCCUCCACUGUGAGACAAACCCCAGCCACAUCUCCAGCACACAAGAACUUCCAAACACCUGAACCGCAGCAGCCAGGCAUUCCUCCAGAACCUCCUCCCCCAGUAGCUUGCUACAAGUGCCAGAAAUCUGGCCACCAGGCCAAGGAAUACCUGCAGCCCAGGAUUCCUCCUAAGCCACGUCCCAUCUGUGCGGGACCCCACUGGAAAUCGGACUGUCCAACUCACCUGGCAGCCACUCCCAGAGCCCCUGGAACUCUGGCCCAAGGCUCUGACUCCUUCCUGGGUCUUCUUGGCUUAGCAGCUGAAGACUGAUGGUGGCUGAUGGCCUCGGAAGCCCCCUAGACCAUCACGGAUGCCAAGCUUCCAGUAACUCUCACAGUGGAGGGGACAUGGAUGGAGCUGGAGGCCAUUACCCUUAGAAAACUAGCAGAACAGAAAAUCACAUCUUCUCACUUCUAAACUAAAGGAACAGGAAAUCACAUCUUCUCACCUCUAAGUGGGAGCUAAAUGAUGGGAACACAUGGACACAGAGAAGAACAACACACACUGGGGCCUAUUCGAGGGUGCAGGGUGGGAGGAAGAGAGGAGCAGUAUAAAUAACUAAUAGGUACUAAGCUUAAUACAUGGCUGAUGAAAUAAUAUGUUCAACAAGCCUCCACAACACGAAUUUACCUAUAUAACAAACUUGCAUAUGUACCCCUGAACUUAGAAUAAAAGUCAAAUUUUAAAACU